CCUUUAAAAAAAAUAGAUAUAUGUAAAAAAUAAUAAGCCUCACAGAGGAGAUCCUGCUGCCGGGGUGGUGGGGCUGGCUGGUGCCAGGAAAUGCUCAGGGUGGGGACUUGGACAGGACCCAGGCACCAGUAGCACAGUGGACCUGGACCUGGACCUGUCUUCACACAGCCCCAUCCCCUGGGAUGGUUUUCACCCAAAACUGGGGAUUACAAAGGAGCCGGGUUCUCAUGGAUUCCCCCCUGGAUAAGGGAAAUCCCAUCUGGAAACCAGGAGAAGAGGCCACAAAGAGCACAGUGGCAAAGCUGGGCACAGCGGCCUGACCUGCCAUGCUCACAGUGACAACUCCAUCCAUCACUCACGGCUGCCACUGUGACCCCUGCACCUCCCUCGGCACUUACACGGCGCUGGGCCCCCCUCCCAGGGGAGGAACAGGAGGGGGAAAGUCUCCCCAGCUUCACACUCGUUCCCUCUCCCCGUGCUGUGACCCCAGGCCGGCGUGGCGAGGGUCGGCACCGCCGCGGCUGCGGCCCUGGCUGGAGGCACUGGCCCUCGCUCCAAACAUGUGAAUGCUCCCAUGGCUCGGAAUGCAGUUUCUCCCUGAAAAGCCGCCUGCGCUCUGCGGCCGGGCGGCUCUUGUCAGGCUGCCAGAGGAGGCCGGAGCAGCGUCACAUGCAGCAAAGUUUUACAAGGCGAGCGAGCGUCUGGGGAGAGGGACGGGAGAGGGACCGAGCGCCGCACGCACACACCCGGACGCACACGCGGAGAAAUCUCCUCCAGCCUCCCUCCAGCUCUCAUCCCAACGCUGAUUUUUUUUUCCUUUCCUCCUUUUUUUUCUUUUCUUUUUGGAAGAACAAAGACUUUGGGGUGGGUUGGC